rnacentral:rRNA from 1 species
GGAACUGAGACACGGUCCAGACUCCUACGGGAGGCAGCAGUGAGGAAUUUUGGACAAUGGGGGAAACCCUGAUCCAGCGACGCCGCGUGUGGGAUGAAUGGGUUAUGCCCUGUAAACCACUGUCAGCAGAGAAGAAAAGGCUCCUUUGGAGCCCGGGACUGUAUCUGCAGAGGAAGGACCGGCUAACUACGUGCCAGCAGC